CCUACGGGGGGCUGCAGUGGGGAAUAUUGGACAAUGGGCGAAAGCCUGAUCCAGCCAUGCCGCGUGUGUGAAGAAGGCCUUCGGGUUGUAAAGCACUUUCAGUGGGGAAGAAAGCCUUGGGGCUAAUACCCUCGAGGAAGGACAUCACCCACAGAAGAAGCACCGGCUAACUCCGUGCCAGCAGCCGCGGUAAUACGGAGGGUGCGAGCGUUAAUCGGAAUUGCUGGGCGUAAAGCGCGCGUAGGCGGUCUGAUAAGCCGGUUGUGAAAGCCCCGGGCUCAACCUGGGAACGGCAUCCGGAACUGUCAGGCUAGAGUGCAGGAGAGGAAGGUAGAAUUCCCGGUGUAGCGGUGAAAUGCGUAGAGAUCGGGAGGAAUACCAGUGGCGAAGGCGGCCUUCUGGACUGACACUGACGCUGAGGUGCGAAAGCGUGGGUAGCAAACAGGAUUAGAUACCCGAGUAGUC
rnacentral:rRNA from 1 species